rfam:Bombyx mori DNA, contig: Bm_scaf6_contig5597, strain: p50T/Dazao, build 2, whole genome shotgun sequence.
AUCGCUUCUCUGCCUUUUGGCUAAGAUCAAAGUGUAGUAUCUGUUCUUUUAAUACCUGAAAGUUCCCGCUUUGCGGGACCAGUAGACACAGUCCACUGAGUUUCUCGCCGGAUCUUCUCAGUGGGUCGGGUUUCCGAUCCGGUGGUAGAUUCUGCGAAGCACUGCUCUUGCUAGGGCCAGUGUUAACAAC